rnacentral:rRNA from 1 species
GACGUACGCUGGCGGCGUGCUUAACACAUGCAAGUCGAACGAUGAAGCCGGAGCUUGCUCUGGUGAAUUAGUGGCGAACGGGUGAGUAACACGUGAGUAACCUGCCCUUGACUCUGGGAUAACUGCUAGAAAUGGUAGCUAAUACCGGAUACGACCCUCGGAGGCAUCUCCAGGGGGUGGAAAGAAUUUCGGUCAAGGAUGGACUCGCGGCCUAUCAGCUAGUUGGUGAGGUAACGGCUCACCAAGGCGACGACGGGUAGCCGGCCUGAGAGGGUGACCGGCCACACUGGGACUGAGACACGGCCCAGACUCCUACGGGAGGCAGCAGUGGGGAAUAUUGCACAAUGGGCGCAAGCCUGAUGCAGCAACGCCGCGUGAGGGAUGACGGCCUUCGGGUUGUAAACCGCUUUCAGCAGGGAAGAAGCCGCAAGGUGACGGUACCUGCAGAAGAAGCACCGGCUAACUACGUGCCAGCCGCCGCGGUAA